rnacentral:rRNA from 1 species
AACGAACGCUGGCGGCAUGCCUAACACAUGCAAGUCGAACGAUCCCUUCGGGGAUAGUGGCGCACGGGUGCGUAACGCGUGGGAACCUGCCCUUAGGUUCGGAAUAACUCAGAGAAAUUUGGGCUAAUACCGGAUAAUGUCUUCGGACCAAAGAUUUAUCGCCUUUGGAUGGGCCCGCGUUGGAUUAGCUAGUUGGUGGGGUAAAGGCCUACCAAGGCGACGAUCCAUAGCUGGUCUGAGAGGAUGAUCAGCCACACUGGGACUGAGACACGGCCCAGACUCCUACGGGAGGCAGCAGUGGGGAAUAUUGGACAAUGGGCGAAAGCCUGAUCCAGCAAUGCCGCGUGAGUGAUGAAGGCCUUAGGGUUGUAAAGCUCUUUUACCCGGGAUGAUAAUGACAGUACCGGGAGAAUAAGCCCCGGCUAACUCCGUG